GCCCUAUUAACGAGACAACACAGCAGCGUGUCUUCGUGCAUGGAGAGCCAUGUAUUUUACUGGUCUCAGUAAUCAACCCUGGGAACCUAACAAACAGGCAUCCUACAGCCUUGCCACAUCUGGUAACAAUUCUUGGUGGAAAGUACCAGCCAGCUGCUGUGACAUAUCACCUGCCUUCAAACCACUUUGUGGCAUUCCAAAAAUUAGGUUUGGAUAGAAGCUGGCAUUUUUAUGAUGGCCUUGAAGAAGGUAAAAAGCCCGGAAGAGGAGAUACUGUCAUCAAAGAGACGACCAUCCAAAAAAAACUUAGGGCCAACUCCUGUGUUGGCCACAUUGUUAUGGUCAGUAACAAAGCAGCAGAAGCUGUUGAAGCCAGGCGCAUUCAGAAUGAAGAGCUGGUGGAAUUAGUCGUGAACAACGGCGUAGAUGAAAGACUCCCGUAAUCCCAUUUCUUUCAUGAAACAGAAUUUCUGUAAUAUCUCUGUGUGAGCCAAAUCAAAUGUACUUGUGUGUUGUUUCACUGUGUGGGCAUUGAGUGGCGCUCUGCUCUUACCUGAACGCAGGUGUACAGGUGGAAAGACACUAUAGUUUGGUAGGGUAGGUAUAACUGCUCCCAAAUGUAUUAUGACAUAUGAAC
ensembl:lncRNA